rnacentral:hammerhead_ribozyme from 1 species
AUGCGAAACACCCGCCCAUGCGGGUGUCUGCCAGGCGUGGCGGCCUGGCACUGACGAGCAGCCACAA